GUUAAGCGACUAAGCGUACACGGUGGAUGCCCUGGCAGUCAGAGGCGAUGAAGGGCGUGCUAAUCUGCGAUAAGCGCCGGUAAGGUGAUAUGAACCGUUAUAACCGGCGAUACCCGAAUGGGGAAACCCAGUGUGACUCGUCACACUAUCAUUAACUGAAUCCAUAGGUUAAUGAGGCGAACCGGGGGAACUGAAACAUCUAAGUACCCCGAGGAAAAGAAAUCAACCGAGAUUCCCCCAGUAGCGGCGAGCGAACGGGGAGGAGCCCAGAGCCUGAAUCAGCAUGUGUGUUAGUGGAAGCGUCUGGAAAGGCGCGCGAUACAGGGUGACAGCCCCGUACACAAAAGCGCAUGUGCUGUGAGCUCGAUGAGUAGGGCGGGACACGUGGUAUCCUGUCUGAAUAUGGGGGGACCAUCCUCCAAGGCUAAAUACUCCUGACUGACCGAUAGUGAACCAGUACCGUGAGGGAAAGGCGAAAAGAACCCCGGCGAGGGGAGUGAAAAAGAACCUGAAACCGUGUACGUACAAGCAGUGGGAGCACAGGUUUACCUGUGUGACUGCGUACCUUUUGUAUAAUGGGUCAGCGACUUAUAUUCUGUAGCAAGGUUAACCGUAUAGGGGAGCCGGAGGGAAACCGAGUCUUAACCGGGCGUUAAGUUGCAGGGUAUAGACCCGAAACCCGGUGAUCUAGCCAUGGGCAGGUUGAAGGUUGGGUAACACUAACUGGAGGACCGAACCGACUAAUGUUGAAAAAUUAGCGGAUGACCUGUGGCUGGGGGUGAAAGGCCAAUCAAACCGGGAGAUAGCUGGUUCUCCCCGAAAGCUAUUUAGGUAGCGCCUCGUGAA
rnacentral:rRNA from 1 species